UACGUAGGGAGCAAGCGUUUGUCCGGAAUCAUUGGGCGUAAAGCGCGCGUAGGUGGCCAUUUAAGUCCGCUGUGAAAGUCAAAGGCUCAACCUUUGAAAGCCGGGUGGAUACUGGAUGGCUAGAGUACGGAAGAGGCGAGUGGAAUUCCUGGUGUAGCGGUGGAAUGCGCAGAUAUCAGGAGGAACACCGGUGGCGAAGGCGGGUCUCUGGGCCGUACUGACGCUGAGGAGCGAAAGCGUGGGGAGCGAACAGG
rnacentral:rRNA from 1 species